CUGGCGACAAAGGAAGACAAAAACAAACAAACAAACGAACAACAACAACAAAAAACCCCAAAAAACUGAAUACACCUACUUACAGUUAUGCAAUUAAAAUGGCAUUUCCUGGCCAAUGAAAUUCUACCCAAUUUAUAAGCCUAAACCUAAAAGGCAUAUUCUCAGUGAAAACCUUCCCCAAUUUAAAAAUUAGAAUUAAUAAUUUUUUUCCCUAUUAUCUGUAUAACUUUACUGGAGUACUUAUCACAGAUUCAAAUUUUUGCUGUUUGUUGGUUAACUACUUUUUCACAACUAUUUCUAGAUAUAAGUCAUUUCAAAACUUAGUGAUGUAAAACAACAGCUGAUUUCAUUUUGUUCAUCAUUUAGUAGGUCAGGACUUCAGGAGGAUACAGUAGGCCAUUUUCACUUGAUUAUCUCAUAUGAUUGCAGUCAGAUGUCCAGCUGGGCUGCAGUCACGUAAAAUCACUGACUCCUGGAUGUGAAGGAUGGCUCUCUCAGAGGGUUGGCAGUUGAUACUAGCUGUUGGCUGGGAGCUCAGCUGGGGCCGUGAGUUGGACUGCCUAGAUGUAGCCUCUCUAGCAUGGUAGUGUUAAUUAGAUUACUCACACGGCAGCUGCAUUUCCCAAAGCAAGUGUCACUAGGUUCGCAGAUGAAUACUGCAUGACGUUUUGUGAUUUAGCCUUGGAAGUCACACAGCAUCACCUCCACUUCUGUUGGUUGUAAAUGGCCUGCACAGAAAACUGAUAGAUCUGUCCUGUCCAGGUCUCCUAUUCUCUGUCUGUUUCUCUAAAAUGUGUAUUACUUUCCAUUUCAUGUUUGCAGGUCUAAUUUAUUUCCCUUGUCAAGUUCUGCCUCAGCACUACAUGCUUUUUUACAUCCUUUACUGAGUCCAUUAUGCAACUACUGGAGCCAGCACUUAUGUUCUUGAGAGCAUCAAUAUAGUGGUUCAAAUCCCAGGUCUCCUAUUUAAAGAUCUUGGAAAGUUAGUUAAUUUAUGUGAAAAGCAGGAAUAAUAACAGAACCUACCUACCUCAUGGAGUUGAGAGAACUGAAUGAGAAAUUGGUAGAGAAUAUUGCGUGACACAUAGUAAGUACACAACAUUAGCUAUCAUUUUUACCAUAUCUUUCUUCUUCAAAGUCCAGGUCAGUUUACUUGUACCUUUUAAAAUAUAUAUGGCAUAGUCUGUACUUGUGGAUAGUAGUUCAUGGGCUUAUUUUCUAUUGUUUUCAUAUUUAGUCCAAUGUCUUAUAGACAAAAUAUGCCUGGAGAUAUCUGCAUUGUGAAUAUCAACUCAGAUGUCCUGUGAUCUUUAAGCCUCAGUACACAAAACACAUGAAGAAACUUGCAUUUUUUUCUCUAUUAUUCUUUGUAACCUUUUCUUCCCAUGAUCUCUCUUGCAGAAAUUAGAAAAGAAAAAUCUGGGAAAACUUCUUCAGUUCUGAAAGAUAAAGAACCUAUUAAAGGGAAAGAAGAGAAAGUUCCAGCUUCCCUAAAGGAAAAAGAACCUGAAACUAAAAAAGAUGAAAAGAUGUCCAAAGCAGGUAAGGGUAUUUUGUAAGAUUUACAUACAAGGAGAUGUUCUGUUUGGUUGGAACAAAGCUAGUUUUACAGUUUUACAAUCAUGGCUGGAUAAAACAUUUAGACAUCCAAAACAUUAAAAAAAUACUGAUGCUACGUGCUGUAUAUUUUACAAGUAAUAAGCAAUAAAAUUAAAUGUAUGCUAAAGUUAACAAAAAUUCCUUGCUUUCUGGUAGCAGAUUUUGGGUAAGUUUAUCAAAGCGCUAGAACCAUUUUCUUUAUUUACUGGGCAAUUGAACACUGUUUAUGAAAUGCUAAGAGGGCACCUUAAAUGUCAGAGGCUCCAUACAGAGCGAGACAAAUGCCCACAAUUUAUUAUUAUCAUGCAUUGAUUUUUAUGAACCUGUAUUUACCUGCUUUCAACCAUUUUUGAUCUCUAAAAAAGGAGUCCCACGCGAUCCAACCUAACAGAUUAAACAUUUUUCUUUCCCACAAUUAAAUGUGCAAAUAUUUUAUGGAGACGUAAUCCAUUGACCUAUUGGCUAUUAAUUUGAAAGUUGAAAUAUUUUUAAAAUAGACUUUCUAAAAACAGGUUUGGCAAGGGAAGAAUUCAAGAGAUUAGCAGGGCACUCAAGGCAAGUGAUGAAGGUUGAGUGGAUGAGUAGCAUAGAAUAGGGGAAAAUGUA